rnacentral:lncRNA from 1 species
UGAAUUUGGGUGCACAUUCUUUCAGUUGUUGAAUCAAUUCAGAUUUUUAUAAGAAAACUAAUUAUAUAUUCAAAAUUAUCUAAAAACUAAAAGAAACUUAAUAUACUUGAGUAACUCUAUGAUCAAAUACCAAAAAUAAAUAUGAAAUCUAUUUGAGUUACUUAUUUUGAUUUUCAAUACUCAUUUGAGAUACUAGGACAUGGUCUUAGAUUUUUGCCCCAGCCUCUCACUUCGUUCGUUGUUCGUUCUGUAUCGUCGCGAAGAAACCCGAUGGGCCCGACUUUCCCGAAUGUCGUUCACCACCAAGUUUUUGAGUAUUUUCAAAAAUCUUGGUCGGGUUCGUUUAUAUUAUCUGAUACCCAAAUUAUCACUUACAAGAUUCAUUUGAAUAUUUUUAUAGAUCAAAUCGGUUUAGAUUUAAAUUAUCUGAAUCAAACUCAGUUCGGAUAUCAAGUUCUAUUACAAACGUCCAUUGUGAAACUUAACCAGGAAGCUACCGUUUUCAAACAAGUGUAAAGUUCAAAACAGAAAUACAAAGAUACAUAUCUUUCAGCUACCAUCUUUUGAGUAUGUGAUAAUUAGAAACCCAACAAAUCCCUUUUUUAUUAUUUGAGGAGCAUUAUAUAAAAGUAACCUUUAAUUCAUGUGUUUAUUACAUAUGUGUUAUUUCGUACGUGUCAGCACCACAAGCUCUUUCACCUCAUAUAUUCAAAAACCUUUUUAUUAACUAGACUAAUUACAAAAUUUGCCAUUGCUCCUUACAUUAAAAAUUGGGUAUAUACUAUAAGCUUAUUGACUAACAAAAAAAAUUAAACCCGCGCCCGGCUUGCUACGCUUCAAUUAGAAACGGCAAAUUUAAAUACGCAGAGAUUUUAUUGCCAUAACCUCAGAUUCUUCAUAAUGAUCGAUUUUGUAAUAUA